rnacentral:lncRNA from 1 species
UUUUAAUAAAAAAAAUGAACGAAGCAACUAAUUAGCUUCAAAUUCAGGAUCUCAAGUACCCAUCAUCAAAUCCUCCACUAUCUGCACUAGAUGUGCGUCAGGAGGCUAACAAUUGUACAACAUAUACGCAGAUUAAAGGCUUAAUGGUCUUAGUUAUUAUUUAUAUUUUAUUUGGGAUUGCGGAAAGAUUAAGUUGCGUGUGGUGAAAAAGUACGAUGAAAAAAUACACUAUUUAUUUUUGUACAUAAUAUCACGUUCUAUUAUGAUAUAUUUUCUGCAAUUUUAUCGAGAAACGUUGAAGCAUAUUCCUAUAUACUCCUUUUUUUUCAAUUUAUUUUAUCUAUUAAUAUUAGAUGGAUCUAUCAGUGCAAGGACACAAAAUAAAGGUUAAAUUAUAUAAGAAUGAAAAGUAUCGAUGAGUAAGCAAGCCGGAACACAAAAAUCUUGCGCUCUCUAAAGAGAUUUAAACCCUCUACGGCUAGCAAAUCUUUCGAACCGAUACAACGGAACACUAGCUUGUCCUCUCCAGUGCACAACGGCUCGACCCUCAUCAUAUAGCUUCACCAAUUCUGUACAAGUUAAAACUUCACCAAGAGAAAUACUUUUUUUGUCCCCUUUCUUUCAAGUAGAAUAGAGAUAGCGAAAGUAGAAUUAUAAAUUUUGGUUGUGUAUUAAUUCAAACAAAUAGAUAA